UUGGCUAAGUAGUCAUUUAACCCCUUAAGCUGCUGCUUAACUGCCUUCAAUUUACUCCAAAUAUGCUGCAUAUGAGUGCCAGGAUAAACCUUCUCCUAGACUUGUUUCACAAUUUCAUGAAACUGCUCAUGUUCCAUUACAUUGCUAUAUAGUCUAAAAGGUUUAGGGUGUAAUGGCCUAUAUAUACCAAAUUUAACUAGGAUAGGGGAGUGAUCUGAA
rnacentral:lncRNA from 1 species